AUUGAACGCUGGCGGCAGGCCUAACACAUGCAAGUCGAGCGGAUGAUGGGAGCUUGCUCCUGGAUUCAGCGGCGGACGGGUGAGUAAUGCCUAGGAAUCUGCCUGGUAGUGGGGGACAACGUUUCGAAAGGAACGCCAAUACCGCAUACGUCCUACGGGAGAAAGCAGGGGACCUUCGGGCCUUGCGCUAUCAGAUGAGCCUAGGUCGGAUUAGCUUGUUGGUGAGGUAAUGGCUCACCAAGGCGACGAUCCGUAACUGGUCUGAGAGGAUGAUCAGUCACACUGGAACUGAGACACGGUCCAGACUCCUACGGGAGGCAGCAGUGGGGAAUAUUGGACAAUGGGCGAAAGCCUGAUUCAGCCAUGCCGCGUGUGUGAAGAAGGUCUUCGGAUUGUAAAGCACUUUAAGUUGGGAGGAAGGGUUGUAGAUUAAUACUCUGCGAUUUUGACGUUACCGACAGAAUAAGCACCGGCUAACUCUGUGCCAGCCGCCGCAGUAAGAC
rnacentral:rRNA from 1 species